rnacentral:rRNA from 1 species
ACGUAGGGCGCAAGCGUUGUCCGGAAUUAUUGGGCGUAAAGAGCUCGUAGGCGGUUUGUCGCGUCUGCUGUGAAAGCCCGGGGCUCAACCCCGGGUCUGCAGUGGGUACGGGCAGACUAGAGUGCAGUAGGGGAGACUGGAAUUCCUGGUGUAGCGGUGAAAUGCGCAGAUAUCAGGAGGAACACCGAUGGCGAAGGCAGGUCUCUGGGCUGUUACUGACGCUGAGGGCGAAGCAUGGGAAGCGAGGAGGAAUGAUACCGUACG